ACACUGGUGGUGAAGUGGGAUCACAAUUGAGAUAUGGCGUGUUUCGCCGUCCCAAGAAUCGGGGGUUCGAAUCCCUCCCAGUGUU